rnacentral:lncRNA from 1 species
GGGUAGAGACCUAAGGACGUUGCGCUGAACUUACUCAAGAUGUCGCGGGCUAAAAAGCAGACGGUGGAGGAAGCGUUGAGCAACAACAGAUGGAUCAGGGACUUGGACCUGCACAAUGGGCUAACAACAGGUCACCUAGAAGAAUUUGUGCGACUUUGGGUUUUGCUACGCGAAGUACAACUCCAUCCACAUCAGGAAGAUCAGAUCACAUGGAAGCUAACGGCCAGCGGGACAUACUUGGCCGC